rnacentral:rRNA from 1 species
AUUGAACGCUGGCGGCAUGCCUUACACAUGCAAGUCGAACGGUAGCGGGCCUUCGGGUGCCGACGAGUGGCGAACGGGUGAGUAAUGUAUCGGAACGUACCUUUCAGUGGGGGAUAACGUAGCGAAAGUUACGCUAAUACCGCAUAUUCUGUGCGCAGGAAAGCAGGGGAUCGCAAGACCUUGCGCUGAUUGAGCGGCCGAUAUCAGAUUAGCUAGUUGGUGAGGUAAAGGUGCACCAAGGCGACGAUCUGUAGCGGGUCUGAGAGGAUGAUCCGCCACGCUGGAACUGAGACACGGUACAGACUCCUACGGGAGGCAGCAGUGGGGAAUUUUGGACAAUGGGGGCAACCCUGAUCCAGCCAUGCCGCGUGAGUGAAGAAGGCCUUCGGGUUGUAAAGCUCUUUCGGCCGGGAAGAAAUCGUAUCAGCUAAUACCUGGUGCGGAUGACGGUACCGGCAUAAGAAGCACCGGCUAACUACGUGCCAGCAGCCGCCGUAAGAC